rnacentral:rRNA from 1 species
AGAUUGAACGCUGGCGGCAUGCCUUACACAUGCAAGUCGAACGGCAGCACGGGAGCAAUCCUGGUGGCGAGUGGCGAACGGGUGAGUAAUACAUCGGAACGUGCCCAGUUGUGGGGGAUAGCCCGGCGAAAGCCGGAUUAAUACCGCAUACGACCUACGGGUGAAAGCGGGGGAUCGCAAGACCUCGCGCUAUUGGAGCGGCCGAUGUCGGAUUAGCUUGUUGGUGGGGUAAAAGCCUACCAAGGCUACGAUCCGUAGCUGGUCUGAGAGGACGACCAGCCACACUGGGACUGAGACACGGCCCAGACUCCUACGGGAGGCAGCAGUGGGGAAUUUGGACAAUGGGCGCAAGCCUGAUCCAGCCAUGCCGCGUGAGUGAAGAAGGCCUUCGGUUGUAAAGCUCUUUUACCGAGGACGAUAAUGACGGUACCUGGAGAAUAACGCCCGGACAAACUUCGUGCCAGCCAGCCGC